AAUGAACGCUGGCGGCAUGCCUUACACAUGCAAGUCGAACGGCAGCAUGACCUAGCUUGCUAGGUUGAUGGCGAGUGGCGAACGGGUGAGUAAUGCAUCGGAACGUGCCUUUUAGUGGGGGAUAACGUAGCGAAAGUUACGCUAAUACCGCAUAUUCUCUGAGGAGGAAAGCAGGGGACCUUCGGGCCUUGCGCUAGAAGAGCGGCCGAUGUCGGAUUAGCUAGUUGGUGAGGUAAAGGCUCACCAAGGCAACGAUCCGUAGCGGGUCUGAGAGGAUGAUCCGCCACACUGGGACUGAGACACGGCCCAGACUCCUACGCGAGGCAGCAGUGGGGAAUUUUGGACAAUGGGCGCAAGCCUGAUCCAGCCAUGCCGCGUGAGUGAAGAAGGCCUUCGGGUUGUAAAGCUCUUUCGGCUGGGAAGAAAUCGCACCCUCUAAUACAGGGUGUGGAUGACGGUACCAGCAUAAGAAGCACCGGCUAACUACGUG
rnacentral:rRNA from 1 species